UGGGGAAUAUUGCACAAUGGAGGGAACUCUGAUGCAGCGACGCCGCGUGAGUGAUGAAGGAAUUCGUUUCGUAAAACUCUGUUCUAUGGGAAGAAAAGGACUGUACCAUAGGAGAAAGCUCCGGCUAAAUACGUGCCAGCAGCCGCGGUAAUACGUAUGGAGCGAGCGUUGUCCGGAAUUAUUGGGCGUAAAGGGUGCGCAGGCGGCUUCACAAGUUGGAUGUGAAAUAUUGUGGCUCAACCACAAACGUGCAUCCAAAACUGCAAAGCUUGAGUUAAGGAGAGGUAAGUGGAAUUCCUGGUGUAGCGGUGGAAUGCGUAGAUAUCAGGAGGAAUACCGGUGGCGAAGGCGACUUACUGGACUUAAACUGACGCUCAGGCACGAAAGCGUGGGGAGCAAACAGG
rnacentral:rRNA from 1 species